UGUUUUAUUACACAGUUUUCAUCAUUCUGGGAGUUUUGCUGUUGGUCAUAUCUGGUGUAGUGACAUUUAUUUUUUGGAGAUGCAGAGGAGGAAGAUGUGGAGAGAAUGUGAUUACUGAAGAACAUCAGGACUGUGAGAAAAAGCAAAACGAUCAGACUGUACCGGAUGUCAUGUACUCUACUGUAAAUCACAUUAACACAGCCGGAGCAGCACGGGUCCAGAUCAAUGCUGGAGAGGAAACUGAAUAUGCCACGAUUAUAACAAACUAAUACACAGUAAAUAUAUAGAAUAAUUAAAACAUACAGUAUAUUAAAUAC